GUGCCAGCCGCCGCGGUAAUACGAAGGGGGCUAGCGUUGUUCGGAAUUACUGGGCGUAAAGCGCGCGCAGGUGGUCUUUCAAGUCAGUGGUGAAAGCCCGGAGCUCAACUCCGGAAAUGCCAUUGAAACUGUAAGACUUGAGGAUGAGAGAGGUGAGUGGAAUUCCCAGUGUAGAGGUGAAAUUCGUAGAUAUUGGGAAGAACACCGGUGGCGAAGGCGGCUCACUGGCUCAUAUCUGACGCUCAGGCGCGACAGCGUGGGGAUCAAACAGGAUUAGAUACCCUGGUAGUCC
rnacentral:rRNA from 1 species